GGUGAGAAGUUGUUGGAAAGCACUUAAGAGCUCCCUUUUAUAGCCCAAAAAGCAAAUAUAGCCGUUAUAGAUAAAGUUAAGGGAGUUUGAAAUUCAAACCAAACCUGAAAAAGUUGUCAGUCGCGUCCCAGGCGCUUCGGAGACGUCUUCGCUUCAACGCGAGACGUCUCGGCUGUAAGAUUUUACUUUUGACGUUGUUUGGGGUCGACUCAGCGCUUUACGGGGACGACUCCGAUGAUGAACGGUUUGAAUCCUUGUUUUUCUGUUUUUCUGAGAGGGUCGCCUCGGCACUUUACGGGGACGUCUCGGCUUAUUUGCGCUUUUUGCAUGGGGACGACUCCGCUGCCUUGGGGACGACUCC
rnacentral:lncRNA from 1 species